rnacentral:rRNA from 1 species
UGGGGAAUUUUGGACAAUGGGCGAAAGCCUGAUCCAGCAAUGCCGCGUGUGUGAAGAAGGCCUUUGGGUUGUAAAGCACUUUUGUCCGGAAAGAAAUCCUCUGGGUUAAUACCUCGGGGGAUGGACGGUACCGGAAGAAUAAGCACCGGCUAACUACGUGCCAGCAGCCGCGGUAAUACGUAGGGUGCAAGCGUUAAUCGGAAUUACUGGGCGUAAAGCGUGCGCAGGCGGUUUUGUAAGACGGAUGUGAAAUCCCGGGCUUAACCUGGGAACUGCAUUCGUGACUGCAAGGCUAGAGUAUGGCAGAGGGGGGUUAGAAUUCCACGUGUAGCAGUGAAAUGCGUAGAGAUGUGGAGGAAUACCGAUGGCGAAGGCAGCCCCUGGGCCAAUACUGACGCUCAUGCACGAAAGCGUGGGGAGCAAACAGGAUUAGAUACCCUGGUAGUCCACGCCCUAAACGAUGUCAACUAGUUGUUGGGGAUUCAUUUCCUUAGUAACGUAGCUAACGCGUGAAGUUGACCGCCUGGGGAGUACGGUCGCAAGAUUAAAACUUAAAGGAAUUGACGGGGUCAUAGCUGUUUCCU